rnacentral:rRNA from 1 species
UACGUAGGGUGCAAGCGUUGUCCGGAAUUAUUGGGCGUAAAGAGCUCGUAGGCGGUCUGUCGCGUCGGAAGUGAACACCCGGGGCUCAACCCCGGGCCUGCUUUCGAUACGGGCAGACUAGAGUUCGGCAGGGGAGACUGGAAUUCCUGGUGUAGCGGUGAAAUGCGCAGAUAUCAGGAGGAACACCGGUGGCGAAGGCGGGUCUCUGGGCCGAUACUGACGCUGAGGAGCGAAAGCGUGGGGAGCGAACAGG